rnacentral:tRNA from 1 species
AUUUCCUUAGUAUAAAAGUAUAUUUGACUUCCAAUCAAAAGGUCUAGUCUCUAGAGGAAAUA